AGUGAACGCUGGCGGCAGGCCUAAUACAUGCAAGUCGAACGGCAGCACAGCAGAGCUUGCUCUGUGGGUGGCGAGUGGCGGACGGGUGAGGAAUACGUGGGAAUCUGCCCAGUCGUGGGGGAUAACGUAGGGAAACUUACGCUAAUACCGCAUGCGCCCUUCGGGGGAAAGCCGGGGACCUUCGGGCCUGGCGCGAUUGGAUGAGCCCACGUCGGAUUAGCUAGUUGGCGGGGUAAAGGCCCACCAAGGCGACGAUCCGUAGCUGGUCUGAGAGGAUGAUCAGCCACACUGGAACUGAGACACGGUCCAGACUCCUACGGGAGGCAGCAGUAGGGAAUAUUGGACAAUGGGCGCAAGCCUGAUCCAGCCAUGCCGCGUGAGUGAAGAAGGCCCUCGGGUUGUAAAGCUCUUUUGUCCGGAAAGAAAAGCGCCGGGUUAAUACCCUGGUGUCCUGACGGUACCGAAGAAUAAGCACCGGCUAACUUCGUGCCAGCAGCCGCGGUAA
rnacentral:rRNA from 1 species